GAUAAACGCUGGCGGCGCACAUAAGACAUGCAAGUCGAACGAACUUAAUUCGAAUGUUUACAUUUGGAAGCGGUUAGUGGCGGACUGGUGAGUAACACGUAAGCAACCUGCCUAUUAGAGGGGAAUAACAGUGAGAAAUCAUUGCUAAUACCGCAUAUGCCAUAAGUACCACAUGGUACUAGUGGGAAAGGAGAAAUCCGCUAAUAGAUGGGCUUGCGUCUGAUUAGAUAGUUGGUGGGGUAAUGGCCUACCAAGUCAACGAUCAGUAGCCGAACUGAGAGGUUGAACGGCCACAUUGGGACUGAGAUACGGCCCAG
rnacentral:rRNA from 1 species